rnacentral:sRNA from 1 species
UUACAAAGUCGUUGAAAUGGUAGUAAAGUGAACCUCAUACCUUUCACCGAGACCCACUGCUUGUUAACAUUUUGCAAUAUUUGUGCUUGUGAGUGGGUGCUCUCACUUGCUGUUUACAUAUAUGUAUAUCUGUAAAUACAUGUGUACUUACAUGUAUAUUUAUAUAUGUAGUUAUAUACAUGCUUUUGCAUUUUAGUAGAAUCAUUUGAAUGUAAGCUGCAGGCAUUUCCUCAAUAUUUUAGGAAGAUUUUAAACUACUGCUUUGAUUUUUGCUUUUUGAGAUUAUCAGGCUAUUUGUGACUUAUAUUUGGACAUUUUAUACAAAUAAUUUGACAGCUAUCCUCUCUCUGUCUCUUACAUGUUCUCCUGGUGCCUCUGACCUGUGGUUGCCGAAAGCAGGAAGUUCUACUACAUCACCCUGCUACGAGACCCCGUGUCCCGCUACCUGAGCGAGUGGCGGCAUGUGCAGAGGGGUGCCACGUGGAAGACGUCGUUGCACAUGUGUGAUGGGCGCACGCCCACGCCUGAGGAGCUGCCGCCCUGCUACGAGGGCACGGACUGGUCGGGCUGCACGCUACAG